GGCAGUUUCACCCAUCAAGUUUUAGCUCAUGAAAGUUUAAGCCGAGUGGAAAUGGUCACCAGGGGCAACACUUGCAAGCAUGCUGGAAUCUAUCUAAAUAUCAGGAUCUCAAUCAAUCUCUCCCCUGUGGGAAAGUUGCCUUGAAAUGGCAGCUUGGAGUGAGGCACACUUUAAAAAGGAACAAGAAAAACAGAUCUUCAAAACUGAAGCUGGUGAAGGAGAAUGAACAUCUCUGGUUCAGUGAAAGAAAGAAGGCUGAACAUCAGAUAGCUGGGUUUGUUCCCACAUUCCUGAAAAGUAGCAAGAUCUAAAUGGGUUUAUGCAGUGGGGCACAGAACUGGGUCAACUAAUUAGCCCCAUUUUCUGAGUACUGGUUUCUAUCAAUUGCACUACUGUACAGCUACAGUAAUGGUGAAGCUUUAAAUAUACAAGCGCAGAAAUACCUGCUCUUAAUGGCAAUUUAGAAUUAGCUAAGGAAAAUAAAUAAUUAAUCCUACUCUCUUGUAUCCAAGACACAGUU